rnacentral:lncRNA from 1 species
AGCUCCACCACUACCACCGCUGAUCACAGGCAAGGAAGACAGCCAUUGAGCACACCCAUUGCACUGUCUAUCGUUGUUAAGGAAUGGAUCAUAUUUGCAACCUGGUCGCUUUCUACUAAACAACCAAGCACUGCCACAAGACGCUUGAAGUCCACCUCCAUGAAGGGACUCGUAAAGCCGUUACCGUUCAAGGUGGAGUCGGAAACCGCGUCAUCAAACUUGAGUUCCUGCGAGUUGUCGGACUUGGUGUCGCAACUCACUAACCUCCAGAGUCUCUACCUCUCCAGAUGCUUCAAACAAACUUGCUCUCCCAAUCUAGGUGUAUAUGAAGUAGCAGAUGUCUCACUAACCAACAGAUCAAUCCCCACGAAAGUGAGCUUCAACAACAGAUGCAAUUGUAGCUUUUGGUUUCCUAAUAAAAAAAUUCAGUUGAUCAGCAGCAACGAUUUUUUAGUCGAUUAUUAAACUCUUUCAGAAUAGUCUCCAUUUGGGAUUUUGCAGCUUGUACUUCUUGCUGAACCUGUAACGUUUCCCUUGCCAUAAGAGCUAUCUUGCGUAACUUAAGAUCUUUUGCCUCGUCGUGAAACCUGAAUGAAGAGGUGCAGUGGGCGCGACCGUGAGGUGCGGAUGAUGGAGCCUGUAGUCUAACGCCGAUGACAAGAAGGGAGAUGAGUGUUUGGUUUGAGGAUUUGGCUUUGAGAUGGGAUUUGUGUGCGACAAGCUGCCUUGCACCCUAGUGGGGAUGAACGACUAUGUGAUAGGCACUGAAACCAGGCAGGAGCAGAACCUUGCCAUAAAAUAGCCAAAGAAUCAUUUCUUUUCGAUGGACAUAGUGGAUCUCCUGUAGAGUCUAAGAAACACAGCAAAUCCAAUUUGCAAUCACUUCUUCAACAUUUUUGAUCUAGCGCCUCUUUCAACUUCCUUAAACUGAACCUCCUUCACAAUUUCUGCAAUGCUUUCAUCAGGUACGGAUUUGAACGGAUGUCGAUGUAGUCGCCUCUGUAUUCUCUGUGAAACGAAGCUUUUCUACGGACCUUGAUGCCCAUGAUCGGUUUCUGAUCUUCAGUCGCGUUGCAGUCGAAUAGCCUUGUCGGCAUACCACCACUGCCAUCUCCAUCGUCGUCGUCCGGGGCAUCUGAGUGGUCAUCUUCUUCUUCACCUGCCAUGUCGUACUUGGGAAUCUCGGGUUUGGAUUCAACGUUCAAGAUGUGGGUGGUCUUAAUAUUGGCAGUGUCGGCUUCGAGCGAGCUGCGAUUCUCGAGGC